GAUGAACGCUGGCGGCGUGCCUAAUACAUGCAAGUCGAGCGAACAGACGAGGAGCUUGCUCCUCUGACGUUAGCGGCGGACGGGUGAGUAACACGUGGAUAACCUACCUAUAAGACUGGGAUAACUUCGGGAAACCGGAGCUAAUACCGGAUAAUAUAUUGAACCGCAUGGUUCAAUAGUGAAAGACGGUUUUGCUGUCACUUAUAGAUGGAUCCGCGCCGCAUUAGCUAGUUGGUAAGGUAACGGCUUACCAAGGCAACGAUGCGUAGCCGACCUGAGAGGGUGAUUCGCCCCACUGGAACUUGAACACGGUCCAGACUCCUACGGGAGGCAGCAGUAGGGAAUCUUCCGCAAUGGGCGAAAGCCUGAAGGAGCAACGCCGCGUGAGUGAUGAAGGUCUUCGGAUCGUAAAACUCUGUUAUUAGGGAAGAACAAAUGUGUAAGUAACUAUGCACGUCUUGACGGUACCUAAUCAGAAAGCCACGGCUAACUACGUG
rnacentral:rRNA from 1 species